rnacentral:rRNA from 1 species
GAUGAACGCUGGCGGCGUGCCUAAUACAUGCAAGUCGAGCGAAUGGAUUAAGAGCUUGCUCUUAUGAAGUUAGCGGCGGACGGGUGAGUAACACGUGGGUAACCUGCCCAUAAGACUGGGAUAACUCCGGGAAACCGGGGCUAAUACCGGAUAACAUUUUGAACCGCAUGGUUCGAAAUUGAAAGGCGGCUUCGGCUGUCACUUAUGGAUGGACCCGCGUCGCAUUAGCUAGUUGGUGAGGUAACGGCUCACCAAGGCAACGAUGCGUAGCCGAACUGAGAGGGGGCUCGGCCACACUGGGACUGAGACACGGCCCAGACUCCUACGGGAGGCAGCAGUAGGGAAUCUUCCGCAAUGGACGAAAGUCUGACGGAGCAACGCCGCGUGAGUGAUGAAGGCUUUCGGGUCGUAAAACUCUGUUGUUAGGGAAGAACAAGUGCUAGUCGAAUAAGCUGGCACCUUGACGGUACCUAACCAGAAAGCCACGGCUAACUACGUGCCAGCCGCCGCCGUAA